GACGAACGCUGGCGGCGUGCUUAACACAUGCAAGUCGAACGGAAAGGCCCUGCUUUUGUGGGGUGCUCGAGUGGCGAACGGGUGAGUAACACGUGAGUAACCUGCCCUUGACUUUGGGAUAACUUCAGGAAACUGGGGCUAAUACCGGAUAGGAGCUCCUGCUGCAUGGUGGGGGUUGGAAAGUUUCGGCGGUUGGGGAUGGACUCGCGGCUUAUCAGCUUGUUGGUGGGGUAGUGGCUUACCAAGGCUUUGACGGGUAGCCGGCCUGAGAGGGUGACCGGCCACAUUGGGACUGAGCUACGGCCCAGACUCCUACGGGAGGCAGCAGUGUGGAAUAUUGCACAAUGGGCGGAAGCCUGAUGCAGCAACGCCGCGUGCGGGAUGACGGCCUUCGGUUUGUAAACCGCUUUCGCCUGUGACGAAGCGUGAGUGACGGUAAUGGGUAAAGAAGCACCGGCUAACUACGUG
rnacentral:rRNA from 1 species